AUGAGAACCAGCUUUGCCUUCCUCAAACCUCAUUAUGGGAGAAGGUAAUCCGAGAUCUAUAUGGAGGGGGACUAGCUGGCCAUUUGAGAAAGAGAUAAGACCAUUUGUAACGGUGAAAGAAAGAUAUUUUUGCCCUCAAUUGCGCAAGGAUGUAACCAGGUUUGUCAUGAAGUGCUUUACUUGUCACACUUCUAAGUGACAAUCUCAAAAUGUUGGUUUAUACAUGCCCUUGCCUGUAACUAAAAAUAUUUGGGAUGAUUUGUCCAUGGAUUUUGUGUUGGGGUUGCCAAGAACACAAAGGGGAAUGGAUUUGGUGUUUGUGGAUGUUGAUAGAUUUUCCAAGAUGGCACAUUUU
rnacentral:misc_RNA from 1 species